rnacentral:rRNA from 1 species
GAUCUCAACUCAUACGUGACUCCCCCCUGUUUUUAAACAUAUUAAAAAGCGGAGGAAAAAAAACUCCCCGGG